rnacentral:rRNA from 1 species
GGGCGUGCCUAAUACAUGCAAGUCGUACGCUUCUUUUUCCACCGGAGCUUGCUCCACCGGAAAAAGAAGAGUGGCGAACGGGUGAGUAACACGUGGGUAACCUGCCCAUCAGAAGGGGAUAACACUUGGAAACAGGUGCUAAUACCGUAUAACAAUCGAAACCGCAUGGUUUUGAUUUGAAAGGCGCUUUCGGGUGUCGCUGAUGGAUGGACCCGCGGUGCAUUAGCUAGUUGGUGAGGUAACGGCUCACCAAGGCCACGAUGCAUAGCCGACCUGAGAGGGUGAUCGGCCACAUUGGGACUGAGACACGGCCCAAACUCCUACGGGAGGCAGCAGUAGGGAAUCUUCGGCAAUGGACGAAAGUCUGACCGAGCAACGCCGCGUGAGUGAAGAAGGUUUUCGGAUCGUAAAACUCUGUUGUUAGAGAAGAACAAGGAUGAGAGUAACUGUUCAUCCCUUGACGGUAUCUAACCAGAAAGCCACGGCUAACUACGUGCCAGCAGCCGCGGUAAUACGUAGGUGGCAAGCGUUGUCCGGAUUUAUUGGGCGUAAAGCGAGCGCAGGCGGUUUCUUAAGUCUGAUGUGAAAGCCCCCGGCUCAACCGGGGAGGGUCAUUGGAACUGGGAGACUUGAGUGCAGAAGAGGAGAGUGGAAUUCCUGU